rnacentral:rRNA from 1 species
CCUACGGGAGGCAGCAGUAGGGAAUUUUGCGCAAUGGGCGAAAGCCUGACGCAGCAACGCCGCGUGAUCGAGACGCCCUUCGGGGUGUAAAGAUCUGUCAGUGGGGACGAAACUUGACGGUACCCACAGAGGAAGCACCGGCUAACUCCGUGCCAGCAGCCGCGGUAAUACGGGGGGUGCAAGCGUUGUCCGGAAUCAUUGGGCGUAAAGAGUUCGUAGGCGGCACGUAAAGUCUGGUGUUAAAGGGAGAGGCUCAACUUCUGUACGGCAGUGGAUACUUGCGAGCUGGAGUGCGGGAGAGGUAGAGGGAAUUCCUGGUGUAGCGGUGAAAUGCUUAGAUAUCAGGAGGAACAUCGAUGGCGUAAGCGCUUUGCUGGGCCGGAAUUGACGCUGAGGAACGAAAGCCAGGGUAGCGAAUGGGAUUAGAUACCCGAGUAGUC